rnacentral:lncRNA from 1 species
UUUCCUCUUCUUUGUUGAACUAGAUUCGUCUUUUGUAUUUGACUUUGUGAUAAUUUCAUUCAUUCUAAUUGGGUCAUUUUCAAACUUGAAUCUGAAAAAUUGAAAAAAAAUAGAUAAAAAAAAUCGAUUUAGAUAGGUUUUAGCAGUACCUGAAACGUUUGAAGUCGCGAUUGAGAGCGUAGUGGUGAAGAUUUGAAAUUCAAAUUAAUUUUGUGGAGAGAAUUUAGGAGAAAUUGAAGGGUAUGGGAGAGAGGAAGGAGAUGAAGUGAAUUGUAUAAAAGGAAUAACUUCCGUUAUUUACUUAUACAAAUUCGUGGGAUCCGUCAGUAGCAAGAUAUGUGAAACUGUAGCUAUUCAAAGGAAAUAAAUGAAGCAAUAGCUGUAUUAUUUAUUUUAAAUUAAUAGUUUGUCAUUAUGCACAAUUUUCCCUUAUUUCAACCCAAUUUUUUUUUUCUCUUGUUGGUACCUGCAUUGGAGACCGACCAAUUUGGAUUUGUGACGUGUAGGAAAUUGAUCAAUUUGAAUUUGUGUUGUAUAGAAUUCUAUUUGAGGAGAAACGUUUCCUAUCAUUCGAAUUAUAUACUAUACAGCUUAAAGCAUAUUCCGAUCUUAUGCAUUGCAAAUAUACAAUCUAAACUUAUGCCUUGCGAAUUAUAUACUAUACAACUUAUGAAAAAAUCUCAAACACCAUACAAUCAAGAGUCUCCAGAAGACAAGUACUAGUGAUGCAAAAUGUUCCAAUCUUUCCCCUGAAAAUUGAAUAGGAAAUUUUAUGCCAAUAAAUUAUUUGAAGAGAAUGAGUAGUUAUCUUAUUCAAGAACCACACUACUUAACAACUUCCAUUAUACUAUGUAAUGAAGAGUACUACAUUCCAGGAUUAAGUGAUAAACGUGCAAAACAAACGAAACAUUUGAAUAAUUUGUGAUAUAUUGCAAUAGACUAACUUUACAGAGGUAUGUGAGAAAUAAAAGAAACAAGGAAUGUAGGAGAUUAACAAUUUAAGAAGAAGCUUACAUGGAAAUGUUGGUUCAAUAAGCAGAAUAGAGAAUCGUUGAACCUAAUGGACAGACACGCCUCAAACAGGUCGACCCGUUGAAGUACUCCUUCUCAAAGGAGACUGCUACAAUAGCAUCCCU